rnacentral:rRNA from 1 species
UGGAGCAUUUGUUUAAUUUGAUGCAAACGCGAAGAACCUUACUUGUCUUGACAUCCACAGAAUUUNCCAGAGAUGGAUUGUGCCUUCGGGAACUGUGAGACAGGUGCUGCAUGGCUUGUCGUCAGCUCGUGUUGUGAAAUGUUGGGUUAAGUCCCGCAACGAGCGCAACCCUUAUCCUUUGUUGCCAGCGGUCCGGCCGGGAACUCAAAGGAGACUGCCAGUGAUAAACUGGAGGAAGGUGGGGAUGACGUCAAGUCAUCAUGGCCCUUACGACCAGGGCUACACACGUGCUACAAUGGCGCAUACAAAGAGAAGCGACCUCGCGAGAGCAAGCGGACCUCAUAAAGUGCGUCGUAGUCCGGAUUGGAGUCUGCAACUCGACUCCAUGAAGUCGGAAUCGCUAGUAAUCGUGGAUCAGAAUGCCACGGUGAAUACGUUCCCGGGCCUUGUACACUCCGCCCGU